UACAGCAUUCUUCAGUCUUUCUUUAUUGGAGUUCCUGUGCAAGGCUUACAAUAAAUAUAUGAAUACUUUGGCAUAAGAAUCUGGCUGGCAUCAAGUCAGCAGUCACCUGCAGUUAGCUUAGCAUAAACUAUGCAGGCUACAGUGUAUAAGCAACACAAACACUCACAGACUUCACAACACGGCUAAUUUUCUUCAGUAAUACAAGAUCGAUUUAUAAAGCUGAGUCAGUGUGUUUGAUAGUAACACUGAUCAUAAGAGAGAUGUGAGAGCCUGAGAAAAGAGCCUAUUACAGGCUGAGUGUAGUGACUGAGGGGAAUGCUUUGGUGUUUUACCGAGACACAAACAAUUAUGAGCAAGAGUUCAUCUGGGAAAUAAAUUAAAAUCAAAAGAAAAUAUAUAUACACUACAGGCCAAAAGUUUGGAAGCAAGAUCAGAUUUGUACAAAAAAACGAUUAUAGUUUCAUAUAUAUAAUUUGCAACACAAUAAACAUGACUAUUGUGUCAAGAGUAACUUAUCAGAAGACAUUUUGACUAUAAUUGUUAGGUAUCUGAGUUAUUGUUGCUUAGACUUUGCUUUCUUUAAAGUAACCUCCUCUGGCUUUAACAACAGCUUGGCAUAUACGAGGCAUUCGUUCCACAAGUUUUUUUAAGGUAUGUUCCAGGGAUUGCAUUCCAAGCUUUCUUAAGUUCAUUAAAAAGAGACUGCUGAUUUGUGGGAUGCGUUUUUCUGACCGAUCGAUCCAAUUCAUCCCGCACAAGAUCAAUUGAGAAAGGUCUGGAGACUGAGGGGACCAAACCAUCUUUUGAAGAAACCUUUCUCUUCUUUUUGUCUAGGUAACCCUGACAGAGCUUGGCAGAGUGCUUAGGGUCAUUGUCUUGCUGCAAAACAAACUUAUGAGCCACAAGUCUGAGUCCAGAUGGAACAGCAUGGUGCUGGAGGAUGGAGUGGUACUGUUCCUUCUUCAAUGCAAACGUCAUUUCACGGUUGUCAGAGAUAUGGGUUUCGACCUUGUCAUGUUGAUUUCCUCCCUUAUUUUUGGUGCUGUCUUUUGCCGAUCUCUCUUACUGGUGACAAUGCUAUGUUAAUCCUCUGCUUUUGUAGUAACUCUCUUUCAUCCAGGUCUUUUUCUCUCAUCAUAACUUCCAGGUUCCUCUAGUCUCUUCAGAGUGUAGUGAACUCCUUUGUUAAACACCUUUAGGCAUUUUGCAAUUUCUCUUUCAGUGUAUCCUUCUUUCCUCAAUGUACAAAUCUGUACUUUUGUUUCUUUACUCAGUUGCUUCUUUUUAGCCAUUUUUGUGGUGGUUUGAACGCAGUUGAGAUUUAUUAGGAUUUUUUAUGCAGACUCUCAAAAGCCAAAAAGUUGAAGUGAAAAAUCCGACUGUAAUUUGUUUUUUUUUUGCUUUUGCACUGAAGUUGUGACUCUUGCAAAUGUUUUCAACCCUUAAACUAAGCCCUUAUUAUCUUUUGCUGACAUAUAUUUAGCAAUGGUCUGUUAACAUCAAUGUAUAUCUAAAGGUAAAUGGAGUAAAAUGGUGCAUUUCCAUGAAAGCAACAUCUGAUCAUGGAGUAAAUACAUCCCAAAAUACAUAAAACUCAUGCUGGAUUUAAAAAAAAGCAUUGUGAACAAAAACUUGAAGUUACUCCCAACAGUUCGGCCUGUAAUGGCCUUGCUUCCAAACUUUUGGCCUGUAGUGUAUAUUGGCUUUUUAGAGAGUUCAGGAAGAGAAGUGGAUCUUUAAAGCAGGCACCAGCAUAAUUCAGUCUAUUUAACACUUUCCAUUCACACAAACAAAAACACAAAAUAAAACAAUCAAUCAAUCAAUCAAUCACAUGAAUCAAAAAUAUGUGCUUGGCAGCAGAUGAUUUGAUGAUUUUUCCAUUACUGAGCUGUGAUUUUUGAGGUGCGGGGGUUUAUUUUAAGCUCUAGGCUCUGCAGUGUUGGCAAUUUUAAAUCUACCAUAUUGAGUUGGAUUAGAGAAAAGCUAAAGAAACAUUAAAGCGCCAAGAGAAACUUUUGGUUUGUGUUGGUUAAAAACAAUACUUUCUGAAUACUUCUCUAUAAUCAACAGUAUUUUCAAUUGAACUAAUAAAUCACCCUGUUUUCUUUUAGGCUGACACAAAACAAUUAUUUUUGAUUUUUAACAAACAGAUAAAACACUUUUUCAUGAAACAUUUAUUAAGUCCUUUUCUUCUGAAUCUUAAAUCCAUUGUUAACCUCUCUGUAUUCUAUUUUGCCAUCUCCUUACUCACUGUCCUUGCUGUUGUUUAUGCAGUAUUGUAAUGAAUACAAAAAGAAUUUCUAUGUGACAGCUCUGUGUCAAACUUUGGCAAUACCAAAGCCAGUAACAUAUAGCACAGAUCAAACUAGAAGCGGAUUUACUUUCUGAACGCCCGUCUUGAUUUUGGGACAUUUUUCUGGUUGAUGUCAUGUAUCCUGACCCUGGAUUUAAGGAUUUAUUCUGUUGAUCUUUGAUAGUUACCCAGAUUAAAAGCCUGUUCAUGACUUUUAUCAUAAAAAGCCAACUAAAGCACAGUGUUGAUCAUCUCAGGACUAGUUGAGUCUGUCUUCCCUGCUGUGGCAUAAAUUAAAAAAAAUAAUUCUAAUAAUCAUACUGUGAUUGGUUCUUAAAAAGCAGGUGCACUUUACAAGUUUGAGAUAAGACACUUGUUUGCUACAAGACAUCUGAAAUGGAAAUGAAUUUCACCUUGGAUAAGAAGAAGCCUUGAUUUGUUUUUCAAGCUACUGAUAAUCAAACCACAAUGUCAUCAGCAUAUGAAGAAUCAAGGGUUUCAAUACACCGGUGUCUGACAUGAUGCAGACAUCAGCCAUGCAAGGAAGUCAUUUCAUAUGUUGGACAGAAAGACAGAUAUAGAUAUGAUUUAGAGAAGUGUAUAUGCUGUAGAUUUUCAAUGGACUGACAACAUUGGCUUAUCUUUGACUUCACUUAAGUGUCGUCUCAUCAGUCCAUUUAAAUAUCACUUUAUAAACAAAGAAAUGUUUUUUUUUAUAUAAAACAGGAUGCUGUGAAUAAUACUGAGGCCUUCUGUCUUUUAACAUGCUUCUUUACUUUUUCUCACUUUCUGUCCAACACAACAGUGACACUCCCGAAGACCCACCAUAUACGCCUCUGUGAAGUAAACCCUUUGCCACGGCUUUGUCAGACCUUCAUAAUAUUUCAGAUAUGCAUUAAAAAUAUUUAUCAAGGACAGAAUUUGUUCCUUACAAGUAAGAGUGCACAUUUAUUAUGUUGUUGGACUCGACCCGUCCCUGCAAUCGCAUCUAGACUUUCUGACUCUUUUUAAAUAAUUAGCUUUAGCCACAGAGGCCUGUUGUUUUCACAGACCCAACAAGAAAGAAGACAGCACCAAAAAGAAAAGGGUGUCUGUUGAAACACUGAGUCAGUUACACAUGGAAUGUAUCAUCAAGAUUGAAGUUGACGCUCUAUAAAGAUGAGCAUUUAACCAUCCAAAAGUGAAUUUCUCAGAGAUGUGAGCUGCUCUGGCCUCAUAUGCUAGGACAUGCAACUCAACAACAUCCAUGACAUAUCUGGGGGGAGGGAUUAUUUCAUCUCUGCAUAUGUGAUGUGUCUUUGAAAUCUUUCAAAUUAAUGUGAUAAACCUUGAUAUGCAUUUUGGUGUGAUAUUUGUUGCAGAUACAGAGGAAGCUCUUAUUUGCUUAUAUUUCCCAGCUAGCUUUACACUGACGAUUACACACUGUGAUGAUUGCCAUGUUGCUCUGAUAAAAAAAGAUUUACUAAGAUGUCAGAGACUGGUCGAGGACAGCUGAGUUCUACCUCCUCAAGGGUGCACCCUGUUUCACAAAGAACCUGGAAGAUAUGAAUGUCUAUAACAACUUUGAGUACGAUGCAGAUACAUUCAGAUGCGUGAGCAGAAGGACACUUGUAGAGGUAUUCUUGGCACAGGCUCGAAAAUCAAUCCUACAUCUUCAUGAGCUCCUUCCCUCCAGCCUGCUGCCAGUCUAGUCGUAGGAGAGUCUGGUUAAGGUGCUGGUUUGAUUUCCAACACUGAGUUGACUGAAUCCAUGUAAAAUUACGUUAGCCUGCAACUGGGACAAACUUAACUUUGCAAUACAAUGCAGAGGCCAUUUGCUUGCAAUAAGAUAAAUGCAACACGAAGGCAGUGCGUCCUUGACAAAAAGCCUGGUAUCCUUACAAUCUCAACUCUGACCAACGAGAGUACCAGCUGCUGCUGUGUGCUGGACACAUGGCCGACAGGGCCUUUAGUUUCCCUCUUCUGGUGCUGGAUCAUAGGUGGAGGUGAGCACAUGCUGCUUUCAGGAGUGUUCAAUCUGAGUGU